rnacentral:lncRNA from 1 species
UAGGCAACGGCGCGGCCCGCGCUGGCGCUGCACUGCAGAGGCUCUGCCCCCGGCCGGCCGGGCCGGGUCGCGGUGGCCAGCGCCGAGCCCAGGGCUGCCGCCCGCCGGUGGUGGCUGGCUUCGGGGAAGAGGGGCCAGGGCCCGCCGGACCCCACCCACAUCUCCAGUUCACACUGGAGAAGGAGAACAACGGCAUCCAACAGAAGACCUUGGACGUCAGAGAGUGAAU